GGGGACGUUUUGGAUUCGACAGGGGUCCCCAGAGCUUAUUAAGCGUGUCGGAGGGUUGUCUCCGUCAUCAACACACUCAGUUUAUAAUAACUGGCAAAUCAAACAAUAAUUUAGCAGUAGCUGCGUAAUAGCACUCUGCAUCGCCUAACAGCAUCUCCUAUGUGCUGUUAACGCGAUUCAACUUUAGUAGGAUACGCUAGGCACUGCUGUUCGAAGUCUGCCUAGAAGAGAUGAAUCGGACUAGCAUGAUGCUGGUUGUCUGUUUCCUACCAUCAUGUGAAACUUAUUAAUAGACUACACACGUAGAAAGAUUUGUAUCAGGAUCCUUGGACGCGGGUUCAAAUCCCGCCGUCUCCA
rnacentral:tmRNA from 1 species